AGAGUUUGAUCCUGGCUCAGGAUGAACGCUGGCGGCGUGCUUAACACAUGCAAGUCGAACGAUGAUCCCAGCUUGCUGGGGGAUUAGUGGCGAACGGGUGAGUAACACGUGAGUAACCUGCCCUUAACUCUGGGAUAAGCCUGGGAAACUGGGUCUAAUACCGGAUAUGACUCCUCGUCGCAUGGUGGGGGGUGGAAAGCUUUAUUGUGGUUUUGGAUGGACCCGCGGCCUAUCAGCUUGUUGGUGAGGUAAUGGCUCACCAAGGCGACGACGGGUAGCCGGCCUGAGAGGGUGACCGGCCACACUGGGACUGAGACACGGCCCAGACUCCUACGGGAGGCAGCAGUGGGGAAUAUUGCACAAUGGGCGAAAGCCUGAUGCAGCGACGCCGCGUGAGGGAUGACGGCCUUCGGGUUGUAAACCUCUUUCAGUAGGGAAGAAGCGAAAGUGACGGUACCUGCAGAAGAAGCGCCGGCUAACUACGUGCCAGCAGCCGCGGUAAUACGUAGGGCGCAAGCGUUAUCCGGAAUUAUUGGGCGUAAAGAGCUCGUAGGCGGUUUGUUGCGUCUGCCGUGAAAGUCCGGGGCUCAACUCCGGAUCUGCGGUGGGUACGGGCAGACUAGAGUGAUGUAGGGGAGACUGGAAUUCCUGGUGUAGCGGUGAAAUGCGCAGAUAUCAGGAGGAACACCGAUGGCGAAGGCAGGUCUCUGGGCAUUAACUGACGCUGAGGAGCGAAAGCAUGGGGAGCGAACAGGAUUAGAUACCCCGGUAGUCC
rnacentral:rRNA from 1 species